UGGAGAAUGGGAGCACGUCAGCAAAUGGAAGGGAUCCCUGUAUCAGUGUGCACACAAGGCUUUUGUCCCCUCUCCCUGGAUGGAUGUCUCUGCGUUCCUUAAAGAAGCGACUAAAUGGCACUGGAGUUCCGUAUCAAGAUCUUCCUAACUGAUAGCACAGUACUCCAACGAGUGAGCUUUAAUUAUUUUCCCCGCAUAAGGAACAGAGUGGCGUUUAGAAUAAUCCUGAAAAUCAACAGAAUUCAAUUCCCUGUCCACUACAAGAGAAAAGAAAUCAGAAAAAGCCGACGGGCUGGACAGCAGUAGAUGACCUUGAGGGUUUAGCACACGCUUCAAAGCUUGGUGCUGAGCACCUUGUUGUCACGUACAGAACAAAGAUUUCCAGGGAACAACAGCAGGGCCUGUUACUUCAGCCACCCCUUGUUUUCUCUGUGACCGAGACGGAGGUGAAGAAACACGGACUGAUAUUUGCUGUAGCAGCACAGCCCUCAAGGACAAGAUGUUUUCCCCGCUUGGUUCCUUUCAAUGUAAACUGAAGUGCUGCUGUCCCAGAUCCAUCCACACGCAGUGCUACCACGCUUCGCCUUCUCCUGCAGCUAAAAACAACGCCGCUCCCCGUGCCUCCUCUGCCUUCAGCUCUCAAGGUCAGCUCUGCAGAAGGGAAAAACAGCUCGGCAGCAAGCGAAAAAGCUGGGAUUUUGGUUUGUUGGUUUUUUUUUUUUUUUUUUGGUCAUUUUCCUUUCUUUUCCUCUUUGCGAAGCGCUGAGAAAAGAAAGACGUGCGUUUUGACAUUUGCUGUUUCAUGCUUCCAGCCCUACACGCUGUAUUCACAGUGCGCUGAAAGGAGAAGAGAAGGAGAAAACAAAGCCUUUGGUAUAAAGGAUUAGCACUUCAGCUGAGUGUCUUCCUAAGGAAGACAUCAAGCACAGCUGCUCACGCAUCCCCCAUGGCCCAGGGGGGAGCAAGGCAAAGCCAGCCCUCGGGACAUGCUGUUUUAGGAGGGAUGGAACUGCUUCAGGUGGUUCAACAGCAGGAGAAACAGAAAAGGUUCCCUGGCAGAAGGUUUUCAGAUCCCCCCCUGACGCUAGGAGAACGUUCAGUGGGAGCUUCUCAGAGUGCUCUGCUCCCAUUUCCCCACUCCUAGCAAAGAAGGGAGCAAAGAAGUAGGGAAAAAAAAAAUCAUGGGAAGUUUGUAGCUAGGCUCAGGUAAUGAGCAGGAUCAGAGCUUUUCUAUGGGCUCUUAAAGAGAAAAAAAAAAAAACACAUAAAAAGCGAUGCAGGUCUGACACAGGAGUUGCUAUGCCAGAGCCAAGGCAGCUCAGUUCAUUUUAAAACCCAGCAGGGAAAUGCCUUUGGAGAAUUCAGUUCCCAGUAGGAAAUGGCAUCCAUCAGACCCUUUGCAUUGCUCCCGACCUCUUGAUUUCUAUCAGACUGCUUUGCAAACAGAAUUCUCACAGGUCCUAGCUCAGCCUGAUCCACCACACCAUACCUGGGGUGUGGAGAAGGCUUAGGAAGAAUGAAGGUAAUGAAAGGCAACAACUUCUCACCAUAAUCAAGAACAAAACUCAUUUUUGGGAAUUAUGAAGAGCCUCCACCAAAUCCCUGGCACAUCUGAGAUGGUGACCAAAUUAUGGACCACCUCUGAAACCAAGACAACUCUGCAGUAGGGCAGAACAGGAACCAUGGCAUUCCUCUUUGUUCCCCAUUCAGAGGAAGAAUAUCCCAUUUAGCUACACAAGACGCAUGACAUCCUAUUAAGAUGACUUUCUAAAAUGGAAAGGAAAUUACUAGGAACCAGGAGGUAUUUUGAGUUCAGUUUCUUCUGUACAGCAAUAACUGUUCCCCUAUGUUCAGCAUCACUGGUGAUUUUCAGCUUAUUGAUGAAAACCCAGAGGUGGACAACAGAUGGAGUAAAAGAAUGUUCUACAUGCUGGUGACUCCCCAGCACUCACCUGUCCUGCGCCUCAGCAGUGAGGUGCAAAGUGGUUAUCUCCAGCAUUAUAACUGCAGAAUGACCUGAAGUUUCCAAACCCUGAGGCCAAGUCCUGAGCUACUGUGCCCAGCUCUGCUACAACCACUGAAGUCAAGAUCAUUCUUAUUUCAAAUAUUCAUGACACGGCAACCUGGCAACUGUUGUAGCGUCUAAAAAUCAUUACAGAUUGUUCACAUUCUGAAUUUUGGCCAGAUUUCUUCGAUACAGAACACUGCAAGCCAUGUGAGAAGGCUGCUGAGGUUACCAUGCUGUCUGGAACAUUAGGGGUUGAUAUUUAACAUAAUGAUCUAAAAGCAAGUCCAGAAUAGGGAGACUGUUCCAUGAAUACAACCUCCGAGCUUCCUGCAGCAUCCUGGUUAGGAAUCUUCUGAGACAUAUCUGGUGUCUAAUCAAAGUUCCUUUUCAGACAAUGUCACCAUUCCUGUGUGGACAUGACAAUGGAGCUCCCACCUCCAUCAGGGCCUGAGCAAGCUUUGGGAGCCAGAACCUCAUCUGGGUUCUCAGGUUCUGCCCACAUGGUCACAGCCAAGCUGCCCGCAUGCUAACAUCAUUUGCCAGGCUUUCAAGUGGUAGAAAGAACAGUUACAAAUUUUUGGCUGUAGCACACAACCACAGAAUCACAGAAUCGUUAAGGUUGGAAAAGACCUCUAAAAUCAUCAAGUGCAACCGUCAACCCACAAGACAAAGACUUCUUCUGUAUGGGAUGGUAGUGCUGUUGAUAGCAGGUAUGAACCGGAGGACAUGGCAGGAUGGAAGAGGAGUCAGCUGGAUGCCAUCUCUUAUUCAGACCUGCAAGCCUGAGAGCUCUCAACACUUGCCAGCUGGUGACAGGUAUAUUUUUAAGAAAAUCUUUUUUUUUUUUGACAUCCUCACUUCUGUAACAAAGGAGCUAUUUAAAAAUGCAGUGCGCUCCCUUGGAAAGCUUUAAAUAGUUCUAGAAUAUAACUGGCAUUAUGCUAUAACCCAGUAUUAAAUACUUUUGGGGAGGAACUGUUUAAAUUGCCAAGGAAAACCUACAUUUAACUGUAGCAAAGGAAAGGACAUGCUGCUUUCUGCGGGAGGCACGAAGCUGUUAGGCGGAAGGACCUGGCCACCAUGGUUUGCCUGGUUCUGGACAAGCAGAAAAGGUCCCUAUCCGUCAUAGAAUCACAGAAUGGUUGGGUUGGAAGGGAUCCUAACAUCCACCCAGACCCACCC